UGGGGAAUCUUGCACAAUGGAGGAAACUCUGAUGCAGCGACGCCGCGUGAGUGAUGAAGCCCUUCGGGGUGUAAAGCUCUUUCGGCAGGGACGAUAAUGACGGUACCUGAAGAAGAAGCUGCGGCUAACUACGUGCCAGCAGCCGCGGUAAUACGUAGGCAGCGAGCGUUGUUCGGAGUUACUGGGCGUAAAGCGUGCGUAGGCGGUGUCUUAAGUUUGUUGUGAAAUCUCCCGGCUUAACCGGGAGGGUGCGGCGAAUACUGAGAUGCUGGAGUGCCGGAGAGGUAAGCGGAAUUCCUGGUGUAGCGGUGAAAUGCGUAGAUAUCAGGAGGAACACCUGCGGUGUAGACGGCUUACUGGACGGUAACUGACGCUGAGGCACGAAAGCGUGGGUAGCAAACA
rnacentral:rRNA from 1 species